rnacentral:rRNA from 1 species
ACUCCUGCGGGAGGCAGCAGUGGGGAAUUUUGGACAAUGGGGGCAACCCUGAUCCAGCAAUGCCGCGUGAGUGAAGAAGGCCUUCGGGUUGUAAAGCUCUUUUGUCAGGGAAGAAACGGUAGUAGCGAAUAACUAUUACUAAUGACGGUACCUGAAGAAUAAGCACCGGCUAACUACGUGCCAGCAGCCGCGGUAAUACGUAGGGUGCAAGCGUUAAUCGGAAUUACUGGGCGUAAAGCGUGCGCAGGCGGUUGUGUAAGUCAGAUGUGAAAUCCCCGGGCUCAACCUGGGAAUUGCAUUUGAGACUGCACGGCUAGAGUGUGUCAGAGGGGGGUAGAAUUCCACGUGUAGCAGUGAAAUGCGUAGAUAUGUGGAGGAAUACCGAUGGCGAAGGCAGCCCCCUGGGAUAACACUGACGCUCAUGCACGAAAGCGUGGGGAGCAAACAGGAUUAGAUACCCCGGUAGUCCCAU